rnacentral:rRNA from 1 species
UGGGGAAUAUUGCACAAUGGAGGGAACUCUGAUGCAGCGACGCCGCGUGAACGAAGAAGGCUUUCGAGUCGUAAAGUUCUUUUAUAUGGGAAGAUAAUGACGGUACCAUAAGAAAAAGCCCCGGCUAACUACGUGCCAGCAGCCGCGGUAAUACGUAGGGGGCUAGCGUUGUCCGGAAUCGCUGGGCGUAAAGGGUUCGCAGGCGGAAAUGCAAGUCAGGUGUAAAAGGCAGUAGCUUAACUACUGUAAGCAUUUGAAACUGCAUAUCUUGAGAAGAGUAGAGGUAAGUGGAAUUUUUAGUGUAGCGGUGAAAUGCGUAGAUAUUAAAAAGAAUACCGGUGGCGAAGGCGGCUUACUGGGCUCAUUCUGACGCUGAGGAACGAAAGCGUGGGUAGCAAACAGG